UGCUAUACAUGCAGUCGAGCGCAGGAAGCUAACCGAUCCCCUUCGGGGGUGACGUUAGUGGAAUGAGCGGCGGACGGGUGAGUAACACGUGGGCAACCUGCCUGUAAGACCGGAAUAACCCCGGGAAACCGGGGCUAAUGCCGGAUAACCUCUUCUCUCUCAUGAGGAAAGAGUAAAAGAUGGCCUUUGGCUAUCACUUACAGAUGGGCCCGCGGCGCAUUAGCUAGUUGGUGAGGUAACGGCUCACCAAGGCGACGAUGCGUAGCCGACCUGAGAGGGUGAUCGGCCACACUGGGACUGAGACACGGCCCAGACUCCUACGGGAGGCAGCAGUAGGGAAUCUUCCGCAAUGGACGAAAGUCUGACGGAGCAACGCCGCGUGAACGAUGAAGGUUUUCGGAUCGUAAAGUUCUGUUGUGAGGGAAGAACAAGUACCGUGCGAAUAGAGCGGUACCUUGACGGUACCUCACGAGAAAGCCCCGGCUAACUACGUGCCAGCAGCCGCGGUAAUACGUAGGGGGCAAGCGUUGUCCGGAAUUAUUGGGCGUAAAGCGCGCGCAGGCGGUUCCUUAAGUCUGAUGUGAAAGCCCACGGCUCAACCGUGGAGGGUCAUUGGAAACUGGGGAACUUGAGGACAGAAGAGGAGAGUGGAAUUCCACGUGUAGCGGUGAAAUGCGUAGAUAUGUGGAGGAACACCAGUGGCGAAGGCGACUCUCUGGUCUGUUUCUGACGCUGAGGUGCGAAAGCGUGGGUAGCAAACAGGAUUAGAUACCCUGGUAGUCCACGCCGUAAACGAUGAGUGCUAGGUGUUAGGGGGCUUCCACCCCUUAGUGCUGAAGUUAACGCAUUAAGCACUCCGCCUGGGGAGUACGGCCGCAAGGCUGAAACUCAAAGGAAUUGACGGGGGCCCGCACAAGCGGUGGAGCAUGUGGUUUAAUUCGAAGCAACGCGAAGAACCUUACCAGGUCUUGACAUCCUUGGACCGCCCUAGAGAUAGGGUCUUCCCUUCGGGGACCAAGUG
rnacentral:rRNA from 1 species